rnacentral:rRNA from 1 species
AUUGAACGCUGGCGGCAGGCCUAACACAUGCAAGUCGAGCGAGCGAAGGACGGGUGAGUAAUGUCUGGGAAAAUGCGUGAUGGAGGGGGAUAACUACUGGAAACGGUAGCUAAUACAGCAUACCAUCAGAUGUGCCCAGAUGGGAUUAGCUAGUCGGUGGGGUAACGGCUCACCUAGGCGACGAUCCCUAGCUGGUCGGAGAGGAUGACCAGCCACACUGUAACGUCGACACGGUCCAGACUCCUACGUGAGGCAGCAUUGGGUAAUAUUGCACUAUGGGAGCAAGCCUGAUGCAGCCAUGCCGCGUGUGUGAAGAAUGCCUUCGGGUUGUAAAGCACUUUCAGCGGGGAGGCGUUACCCGCAGAAGAAGCACCGGCUAACUCCGUGCCAGCAGCCGCGGUAAUAC